UUAUCUCAAUGAGUUAUUUAUUUUUCUUAUCGUGUUUACUCUAUUUUCAUCGCUUUCCUUGUAUGUGCUUUAUUUUAUCUUUUCACUUCUGCUCCUCCCGGCCUUCCGUAGUUGCCCCCAGCUAUGGCAGCACUUCCUCUUUGCCACACCACGUGGUUGGCAUCGAUGAGGGUGAGUUCAGGGUGCAGAAGUGGAGAGGAAAAUAACUUUAUUUUCAUUCUUUUGUCCUUCAGAGUCCUUAAGGGUUCACGAGUCAGCCCAACUAGUCUACAUGUGUUUUGUGGACUUGGAGAUGGCACUGGACUAUGUGCCUUGAGGAAUUCUAUGGAGUACUCAGAGUCACGAGUACAUGAGUCAUGGAAGGAUGGAAAGCAAGAUGGAAAAAACGGAUUGGUGCAGCGCUUCUGAUGCUAUGGUUAUCAUCACAUUUUACCAUGACUCUGUGAGGUGUUUACUCUGGAACAUUCAGGUGGCUUUGCAAAUUCUUUUAGAGUUUUGGGGGAUUGGAGUAUUUGAGAUUUUUAUUUGAAUUCCUGGUUGUGAAUACAGAGAGUCUUUAUUGUAAAAGAGGUAGAGAGAAUACAGGUGUUUCACUGUACACAAAAAAGACAACACUUUCAUCCAAACCAUGACUAUGAACUCACUCAUUCACAUCAGCGGCCUGUAAGUAAAGAACAAAAGCGCAAAAGACAGAGAAACAAACAUACAAAGUCUUUGGAUUUUCUCUACUGGCCUCUCACUCGCUACUAAAUGCAUCCUCUUUCGCUCUCUUCCAAUGUACUACUUUUAGUCAUAAAACAGCAAUAUAACCCAUAUAGUGUGCUUCAAAUAAUAAUAAUCGCCAUACAUACUGCACACACACACACACACACACACACACACUCAAUAACAUGUCGUGCAGUCAUUCUCAACUGGUGGGUUGCUACCCGGAGUCGGUCUCUUUGCCUGGGAAAGUGGACCAAAGAAGAAAAACCCCCAGAAACUAAUUUUCCUGUGAGAGAUUUCUUGAUGCAGCGACGUCUUUGAACGUCUGUUGUUGAGGCGUAGAAAGUACCAGCCGUGUAAGUGCAAUGUGCAUUUUAGUUGUCCAUUUCAUCGUCAUAUUUGCAUCUGUUUGAAAGCGCCCUGUCAAAUAGCAAAUGCAGGGAUUUUCAAUGGAAAUGAGCGCUAGGUUAUGUUCUGCAGCCAAACCAGUUGAGAAGCACUGAUGCGGAGGAUAGCCACGCCCCCCUGCUGACUGAUGGUAGAAUGAAAUCAGCACGCACACGACACGCGUUCACUCAGCUGAUGGCCCAAACAGCAAAACAACCACCAGAGCAAAGUGGACAGAAAAAGAAAAAGAACGCAUCUUAUCAAAAAUCAAACAGCAUAAAAAGCAAC